UACGUAGGGUGCAAGCGUUAAUCGGAAUUACUGGGCGUAAAGCGUGCGCAGGCGGCUUUGCAAGACAGAUGUGAAAUCCCCCGGGCUUAACCUGGGAACUGCAUUUGUGACUGCAUGGCUGGAGUGCGGCAGAGGGGGAUGGAAUUCCGCGUGUAGCAGUGAAAUGCGUAGAUAUGCGGAGGAACACCGAUGGCGAAGGCAAUCCCCUGGGCCUGCACUGGACGCUCAUGCACGAAAGCGU
rnacentral:rRNA from 1 species